CAGAAUAAAAGAAUUAAGAACCUCUAGAUUAUGCACUCCAUUUCUCUCAUGUGAUUUGUAAUGAUUUUAUGCAAACAUAAUGAUUCCUUUGAGGUCUAUCCACUAGUGCCUGGAUUUUUAUGAGAGGAGGUAUAAUACCAAUCGUGCUACUUGUUUCCAUCAAGUGCAUUCAAUUUGUUUUCGGCUUUUUACACCAUCUAAAAGCUCUAAUGUCCUUAUUUCUUGGUAAGCAUAGAUACGGGUUCAAUCAGAUCUACUUGGUCGCCUGGUCAUUACUGGUCAGCCAAACCAACUUGACAAUCUUUGGGGUGUUACUGCCUUCAAGAAGGUGGUCACCUUGCCUGCUAUAAUUGAUCAACUUCGGACCAACACUGUUGUCACCCUUCAUGGGUGUCUUCAUGUUCAUGUGCCCUUUGCGCAGCAAAAUCUCUGAGUUAAAAAAGCAGGAGUAUUAGAAGUUGGCCAAUAUUGUGAAUGCUUGGCCAUAACUGUUAGUUGUUGUUGAUGAUACUGUGGGUCAAAAACUUUGAAUGGCCCAGAUAGCAAGGGAGGUAUUUCGGCUUCAGCCUCCCCAGUAGAAACUUAGAGGGAUAUGUGAUGAACAUAGAUUGGAGUAGUAUGUUGUCUUGAUACUAAAACAUAUCUCUCUUUCUUGAUGUUCUGAUACAAUGGAUCAUUGAUGAAAUGUAAAUAUCAAUUUCUUCAAGCAGACAAAAGGAUUGAUAA